GAUGAAGAACGCAGCGAAAUGCGAUAAGUAAUGUGAAUUGCAGAAUUCAGUGAAUCAUCGAGUCUUUGAACGCACAUUGCGCCCCCUGGUAUUCCGGGGGGCAUGCCUGUCCGAGCGUCAUUGCUGCCCUCAAGCACGGCUUGUGUGUUGGGCCCCGUCCCCUCCCCCGGGGACGGGCCCGAAAGGCAGCGGCGGCACCGCGUCCGAUCCUCGAGCGUAUGGGGCUUUGUCACCCGCUCUGUAGGCCCGGCCGGCGCCAGCCGACACCCAACUUUUAUUUCUAAGGUUGACCUCGGAUCAGGUAGGGAUACCCGCUGAACUUAAGCAUAUCAAUAAGCGGGGA
rnacentral:misc_RNA from 1 species